GGAGGGCCAUAGCUCAGUGGUAGAGCAUCUGUUUUGCGUGCAGAAGGGUCCCAGGUUCAAUCACCAGCAUCUUCA
rnacentral:tRNA from 1 species